CUGAAUUUUAAGAGUCUGGUAACCCUGGGACACAAAGCCCUCAGGGAUGGGGUCGGUGACCCUGUUAGGCAAGCCCCCUGGGCCAGGAAAAACACCAGCCAGGAGCGGGAUCCAGAGCCUCCAGAGCUGUGAUCCUUCUGAGUGAGCCCCUGAAGAGUGGCUGUGUCUGGACAGAGUAGACUUCCUGUGAGGAGCAAGGGGAUCAGAGCAUGCUUUGUGUGUGUGCUUAGAGAAGCUGAAUACAGCCAAUGGGCAGGUCCAGAGUUUCACCAUACCACCAGUAAGUGCACACACAUCUUGGGGAGCACCUGUGUGGACCAGAGUGUUUCAGCUGCAGGUGGGUCCCAGCUAAGGCCCUGGCCCAACCCUGGAGGUGCAAGCACAUGUCCUAAAGCCACAGAUCACCUAGAAAAGUUCUGCACAGGCAUACAACCUUCAUCCAGAGUUCCACCAUACCAUUGAAUCAAUAAGGAUAUGACUUUCUAUUCUGUAUGCUGAAUGAUAGCUUUGGAGCAAAUGUAGUGACCACCCCAGGAAAACCCAAAGGAUUAAGAGCUUCUCUUUCCAGAGCCAUCCUGCAAUUUUAUCCAGGGCUUCCUCCCAUUCUGUGGAAAGAGCUCGAGCUCGCUGCUGAAGACUGUCAUCCAGGACAGCUCUUGGGAUAAGGUGAUGACUACUCUUUCUUUGCUACUGAUCCUGAACUGUGCAGAGCUCGCUUCUAAGGCCAUCUGUAUGUUACAGCACAUUCUCCUACCACCUUGCCAUCUCAGCACUUCAUCUGGGGACAUCAUAUACUAGGAUACAAUAUCCAUCCCUAAUCCUUUGCCAUUUUUUUCUGGGUGUUGUACACUUCACCAAAUCAAGAAAGACAUGGAGUGUAUUGGAGAAUGAAGGGAAAAUAAAACCCCAGGCCUGCAUAAAAACGAC
rnacentral:lncRNA from 1 species